rnacentral:rRNA from 1 species
CCUACGGGUGGCAGCAGUGGGGAAUAUUGGGCAAUGGGCGAAAGCCUGAUCCAGCCAUGCCGCGUGUGUGAAGAAGGCCUUCGGGUUGUAAAGCACUUUCAGUGGGGAAGAAAGCCUUGGGGCUAAUACCCUCGAGGAAGGACAUCACCCACAGAAGAAGCACCGGCUAACUCCGUGCCAGCAGCCGCGGUAAUACGGAGGGUGCGAGCGUUAAUCGGAAUUACUGGGCGUAAAGCGCGCGUAGGCGGUCUGAUAAGCCGGUUGUGAAAGCCCCGGGCUCAACCUGGGAACGGCAUCCGGAACUGUCAGGCUAGAGUGCAGGAGAGGAAGGUAGAAUUCCCGGUGUAGCGGUGAAAUGCGUAGAGAUCGGGAGGAAUACCAGUGGCGAAGGCGGUCUUCUGGACUGACACUGACGCUGAGGUGCGAAAGCGUGGGUAGCAAACAGGAUUAGAUACCCCAGUAGUC